AUUGAACGCUGGCGGCAGGCCUAACACAUGCAAGUCGAACGAGUGGCGGACGGGUGAGUAAUGUCUGGGAAACUGCCCGAUGGAGGGGGAUAACUACUGGAAACGGUAGCUAAUACCGCAUACCAUCGGAUGUGCCCAGAUGGGAUUAGCUGGUAGGUGAGGUAACGGCUCACCUAGGCGACGAUCCCUAGCUGGUCUGAGAGGAGGACCAGCCAAACGGGAACUGAGAAACGGUCCAGACUCCCACGGGAGGCAGCAGUGGGGAAUAUUGCACAAUGGGCGCAAGCUCGAUGCAGCCAUGCCGAGGGUGUGAAGAAGGCCUUCGGUUUGUAAAGUACUUUCAGCUGGGAGGCGUUACCCGCAGAAGAAGCAACUGCUAACUCCGUGCCAGCAGCCGCGGUAAUAC
rnacentral:rRNA from 1 species